UCUCUUGGUUCUGGCAUCGAUGAAGAACGCAGCAAAAUGCGAUAAGUAAUGUGAAUUGCAGAAUUCAGUGAAUCAUCGAAUCUUUGAACGCACAUUGCGCCCGCCAGUAUUCUGGCGGGCAUGCCUGUUCGAGCGUCAUUUCAACCCUCAAGCUCAGCUUGGUGUUGGGACUCGCGGUAACCCGCGUUCCCCAAAUCGAUUGGCGGUCACGUCGAGCUUCCAUAGCGUAGUAAUCAUACACCUCGUUACUGGUAAUCGUCGCGGCCACGCCGUAAAACCCCAACUUCUGAAUGUUGACCUCGGAUCAGGUAGGAAUACCCGCUGAACUUAAGCAUAUCAAUAAGCGGAGGA
rnacentral:rRNA from 1 species